UCAAAACUUCAAAAACUUGAACAAAAUAUUAAAACAGCAUUUUAUUUUUUUAUUUUAUCUCGAUAAUUUAGAAAUUAUACUUACAUAGCUUCUAUGUUAACCAUAGGCAUUAAAACUACACAAUAGCAUGUCUAAAAGAUAUUUUCCACACGAAUAUGGAGACAGGAAAAAGGCAAAACUUGAUGUCAGCAUAUCUGACCACAACUUCCCUUUGAGCCAAAACAAUUCAUACCAAGAAUCAAACAAGGCAGACACAUGGGGUGAUGAAAAUGAUGACGAAAUGCUUCUUCUGGCCAGCCAGGCGUGCGAAGAGGCGUGUAACAAUAACGAUAUCAGUCAAUUGGCUAAUUACACAAUAUGUAUGCAGCCAGCAUCCACAAGUACACAAAUUUGUCAACCGGGACCGAGCGCGAAAACAUCAUUCGUGUUCAAAAAACCGUCAAGCAACCCCUCCAGUACUCUGUCAACGCAUUUGAAAGACAAAUGCGAUAGGAUAUCAUCGCCAUUGCCAGGAUUUUCCUCUAAACUCGUUGGGAAGGAUACCAGAUCUGUUAAUCAGACUGACGACUUUAUAUUCAACGAUAAAAUAUACAAAGGACAGGACUCCAAUGUUGUUUAUCAGCAGUUACUUCAAAUGCAAGAAGAGAAUGCAAAACUUAAGUCAGAAAAUGGGAAAUUGCUGGAGAAAUGUUUGACCAAAGAAGGGGAGGCUUCCAUUUUAAGGACACAGUUGAAGAAUUGUCAAAUGUCUGUAGACAAUGCCAGGUUGGAGAAGAUUAAAGCUCAGGAAAAGGUCCAGAUGGAGUAUAAUGAAAAGCUCAAUUUGGCAAACAAUCAAAUGCAUGACUUGAGGACACAGUUAGACUUUAAGAAUCUAGAAAUAAUCAGUAUAAAAGAGAAAUGCAAGAAGUUGGAGUCGACAAAACUAAAGCUAACACAAGUUACUGUUAGUGGUAAUGAUAUAUCGGCAAGUAAUAAGCACAUUAAUAACUACAAUUCAAACGAUUAUACUCAGGUGAAGAGAGUAAAAACUACUUGCAGUUCAGUACAAACUGAAGACAAAGUAAAGUUUCUUAAACUGAACAAAGCCUCUAGGAAAGAUAUCUCUAAAUUGGACACAGUACUACCUUACUUACUACAAUCGGCGCAAAGCCAGCAGUAUUCUCUACUAGAUUACAACGAGAAGCUGCAGAAAAGAACAGAUCUAUCACACAAUAAGUGUAGGAUUUACAGCACAUUCCUAAGAGCUCCGUCGACACCAUUGCCCAGGGAAGGCAGUUUUAAAAUCCAAACGAAUUGUGUUUACGAGGAUUUGUGCUGCAUUGCUGCAGGAGAUUCUGAUCAACUUAGGUAUUUUAAUGUGUUCACAACUAUAAAAUCUUCUUUAGAAGAAGUUGUCACUCGACUGGAAACAAUAUGCAGGAGAAUGACGUCAGCAUUCCAGAAAGAAAUGGACGAGAAAUACAUAGAGUCAAGUACCACUUACUUAGAUGUAAAGAGAAACGAAUUGUUAGAAGGAAGGGCGUUGUAUAAAGAAGAACAAGAGAUACUGGCGCGUCGUAUGACCGCUGUGUUAUCGUAUGUUCUAGAAAGCUCUAGAGGCGUGGAUUACUAUAAUAAUUUUGAGAAACAGACUGCAAAGGAACAGAGAGCUAGCAUUACCGAUAUUAUAUCUAGGAUAUGUGAGCUACUUGAUAGCACUUCAUGUGCAACCAUGUACAGUGGUUUAUUAUUGUCAAUUUGUAUUUUAAUACAAAUUAUAUUAUCGCAAACAAAGAAUCACACCCUGUUGGAUCCAAUAAAGUCUGUGAUAACCGCACGAGCUAUGCCUUUUGUAUAUUGCAAUAUCCUUGGAACAGUAAAGACAAUAUCGCUGUGGGAGAACUUCAAAAAAACAUUCUGUCCUGGAUCCAAUACUGGGAAUCUUAAAAUAGACUAUGAUCAAGGUGUUUUAUUAUGUAAAAAAGAUUCAUGCUAUCUACAAACCCUUUGGAAGCAUGUGGAAGUUUGUUUGAAAUGUAUUGAGAAACAGAAUUUGCCAGAAAGUGCGGUCGCAUUCACGCGAGACCUAUUAGUUUUACACAGUAAUACUUGUGAAGGAGCCAGUUAUGGGCAGGAUAAAUACAGUUGCGAUUGCCAGCUAACAUUGAUUCAAGUUGUGGUUUAUGCUUUGAGAAUAUGUUCUGUAAUGCUUGACAGCCACAAAGUAUCUUUACAUGGUGUGGCGUGCAAGCGCUGUACCAGUGCACCAUAAAGGACGUAGAGUUUACCACACAGCUAUCCUAUAACGAAGGUCAUCUUAUCGAGUUUUGUGAGAUCAUGAAGUGCUAUGAACACAGUGAAGUUUAUUCAAACAUGUUAUCUGAAUUGGCGGGGACCUUGCAGUGUUCGCCGGACGACACGCCCUCAGCAUUCCACAAGGAAGCGUGGCUCAAGAGCUUUACUACUUUCACAAUAACUGACUGAAAUUAGUACUUAUAUUGACCCUGAUGUACCUACCCUACCAAUUGAAACUAGAAAAAAUAGAAGACUUUAGCUAAUCAUAUAGCAACAGCAUUUCACAAGUGAUUAUGAACGAUCAGAAGUUAGCUACGUGCUCCAUGACAGAUGUCAAAUAUGGGUGACAGGAUUGAUGCGCGGGUAAUGUAGCUCACUUCGAGCCAUUCGUAAAUAUUGGUAUCUAGUGUAUUAGCUGUAAUGAAUGUGUAAUGAGUAUCUAAUCUGCCAAAACGAGGUAAUAACAAUUUAAUUUAAGUCAACCAGUUCAAUAGCAUGAAGUUGUAGAUAGUCUUCGACUGAAUGUACAUGAGACUUCUGCACUUUUAGUCACUUUUAUUAGCAAUGAACUAGAUAAGUAUAUUGUCUACCUGGAAUAUUUUAUAUAAUACAUAUGAAAUGUUAAUUUAAUUGCGCUAUAGAAGUGAUAUGAAGUUAGCUUUAAUUUUUAAGAACAGCCACCAUUAAUACCAUAAAUAGUUUAAUAUGUGGUUCAAUAAUGUGUAUGGACCGUUUGCAAUAAACGAUCCAAUGGCAUCCCAUCCCAAUGAUCCGUCACUAUAAUGGACCAAUCAGAACAAAGGUCUUUUUCCAUAUUUAGUAAUAAUCUUAUACUAAUUGGUUUAUUAUCAGAAUUUAAUCGCAUAUUAAUAUUAGGGUCAUUUAUUGAAAACGACCAUAUGUCCAGCAGUAAUGUUUUAUGAUCGAUUUCCAUAAACGAUCUUAAUCGCUGUCUUCCAAUCAAUCCCUGAAUUAGACCGAUUAGAAUUAAGUUUGACAUCCUUAAGGUUUACUUAUUUCGAUUGAUUUAUUAUCGCGAUUGAUCCAAAGAUAGCGGAUGCGAUCGUUAAUUGAAUUCGGCCGUAAACAAUGUUUAAAAAUAAUAUUUGUAAUGCAAAAGCUAUGUGAAAACAUUCUGUGAUUGUAGAUAUGUACAUAAAUAAUUAUACUAUUUAAAAUAAAAUUAAUAUUUAUU
rnacentral:misc_RNA from 1 species